rnacentral:lncRNA from 1 species
AUUAUAUAUUUUCUCUGUUUUACAAAGAUAAUUUUUAACUGUUAACACAUAUUAAAAUGCAUUAAAUUUAUAUCACAAAUUUAUCAUUUAUGUGUUUAUCAAUUUUCAAUAAAAUUAACUAAUAGAAAUAAAAUACUAUUUAUUAUUAUUAAAUUAUUUUUCAAAUUUAUUUAUCUUUGUAGAACAGAUGAAAUAAAUAAAAUAGCAUUUGAAUAAAAACUAAGUUCUCUUGAGUAUUUUUUGUGACAGGAUGCAACCACCAAUCAGAAGGCAAAUUUGUUCUUUUGACAAAAUACAGUCCUCUUAUUCAGUGCAAAGGCAUAUUACGAAUCCUUAAAGUUAGUUUGGUAUUUCCGAGAAAUUAGGUGGAGAAGACCAUUGUACCUUACCCUC